AACCCUACGGGAGGCAGCAGUAGGGAAUCUUCCACAAUGGACGAAAGUCUGAUGGAGCAACGCCGCGUGAGUGAAGAAGGGUUUCGGCUCGUAAAGCUCUGGUGGUAGUGAAGAAAGAUAGAGGUAGUAAAUGGCCUUUAUUUGACGGUAAUUACUUAGAAAGUCAAGGCUAACUACGUGCCAGCAGCCGCGGUAAUAAGUAGGUGGCAAGCGUUGUCCGGAUUUAUUGGGCGUAAAGCGAGUGAAGGCGGGUCAAUAA
rnacentral:rRNA from 1 species